AGUAAAAAGUCGUAACAAGGUCUCCGUUGGUGAACCAGCGGAGGGAUCAUUACUGAGUUUACGCUCUACAACCCUUUGUGAACAUACCUAUAACUGUUGCUUCGGCGGGCAGGGUCUCCGUGACCCUCCCGGCCUCCCGCCCCCGGGCGGGUCGGCGCCCGCCGGAGGAUAACCAAACUCUGAUUUAACGACGUUUCUUCUGAGUGGUACAAGCAAAUAAUCAAAACUUUUAACAACGGAUCUCUUGGUUCUGGCAUCGAUGAAGAACGCAGCGAAAUGCGAUAAGUAAUGUGAAUUGCAGAAUUCAGUGAAUCAUCGAAUCUUUGAACGCACAUUGCGCCCGCCAGCAUUCUGGCGGGCAUGCCUGUUCGAGCGUCAUUUCAACCCUCAAGCUCUGCUUGGUGUUGGGGCCCUACAGCUGAUGUAGGCCCUCAAAGGUAGUGGCGGACCCUCCCGGAGCCUCCUUUGCGUAGUAACUUUACGUCUCGCACUGGGAUCCGGAGGGACUCUUGCCGUAAAACCCCCAAUUUCCAAAGGUGACCUCGAUCAG
rnacentral:rRNA from 1 species